rnacentral:rRNA from 1 species
UCGUCACACUAUCAUUAACUGAAUCCAUAGGUUAAUGAGGCGAACCGGGGGAACUGAAACAUCUAAGUACCCCGAGGAAAAGAAAUCAACCGAGAUUCCCCCAGUAGCGGCGAGCGAACGGGGAGGAGCCCAGAGCCUGAAUCAGCAUGUGUGUUAGUGGAAGCGUCUGGAAAGGCGCGCGAUACAGGGUGACAGCCCCGUACACAAAAGCGCAUGUGCUGUGAGCUCGAUGAGUAGGGCGGGACACGUGGUAUCCUGUCUGAAUAUGGGGGGACCAUCCUCCAAGGCUAAAUACUCCUGACUGACCGAUAGUGAACCAGUACCGUGAGGGAAAGGCGAAAAGAACCCCGGCGAGGGGAGUGAAAAAGAACCUGAAACCGUGUACGUACAAGCAGUGGGAGCCCCACCACCAAAGCAUUUGCUGUACCGCGUUGACGGAGCGAAGCGACGUCAAACCGAUAAAACAGCAGUGUAAAGUGAGCCGCAGGGCGCUUUGCGCGACAGCGCAAAGGCAGGCGGUUUCGCGUAGCGAAAGCGAAUGCUUUGGGGUGGGGUGACUGCGUACCUUUUGUAUAAUGGGUCAGCGACUUAUAUUCUG